rnacentral:rRNA from 1 species
AUUGAACGCUGGCGGCAGGCCUAACACAUGCAAGUCGAGCGGAGCGGCCGACGGGCGAGUAAGGCCUAGGUAACUGCCUGGCAGAUGGGGAUAACGUCCGGUAACGGGCGCUAACACCGCAUACGAUCAGCUGAGCCUAGGUGGGAUUAGCUAGGUGGUGGGGUAAAGGCCUACCAAGGCGACGAACCGUAACUGGUCUGAGAGGAUGAUCAGUCACACUGGAACUGAGACACGGUCCAGACUCCUACGGGAGGCAGCAGUGGGGAAUAUUCGACAAUGGGCGAAAGCCUGAUGCAGCCAUGCCGCGUGUGUGAAGAAGGUCUUCGGAUUGUAAAGCACUGUAAGUUGGGAGGCGUUACCUACAGAAUAAGCAACGGCUAACUACGUGCCAGCAGCCGCGGUAAUAC